rnacentral:rRNA from 1 species
AACGCGAAGAACCUUACCUAGUCUUGACAUCCCGAUGACCGUCCCGUAAUGGGGACUUCUCUUCGGAGCAUCGGAGACAGGUGGUGCAUGGUUGUCGUCAGCUCGUGUCGUGAGAUGUUGGGUUAAGUCCCGCAACGAGCGCAACCCUUAUCUUUAGUAGCCAGCAUUUAAAGUGGGCACUCUAGAGAGACUGCCAGGGAUAACCUGGAGGAAGGUGGGGAUGACGUCAAAUCAUCAUGCCCCUUAUGACUAGGGCUACACACGUGCUACAAUGGCGUAAACAAAGGGAAGCAACCCUGUGAAGGUAAGCAAAUCCCAAAAAUAACGUCUCAGUUCGGAUUGUAGUCUGCAACUCGACUACAUGAAGCUGGAAUCGCUAGUAAUCGCGAAUCAGAAUGUCGCGGUGAAUACGUUCCCGGGUCUUGUACACACCG